GUAGGUGGCAAGCGUUGUCCGGAAUUAUUGGGCGUAAAGCGCGCGCAGGCGGUUCUUUAAGUCUGAUGUGGGAAGCCCACGGGCUCAACCGUGGAGGGUCAUUGGAAACUGGAGAACUUGAGUACAGAAGAGGAAAGCGGAAUUCCACGUGUAGCGGUGAAAUGCGUAGAGAUGUGGAGGAACACCAGUGGCGAAGGCGGCUUUCUGGUCUGUAACUGACGCUGAGGCGCGAAAGCGUGGGGAGCAAACAGGAUUAGAUACCCUGGUAGUCCACGCCGUAAACGAUGAGCGCUAAGUGUUAGGGGGUUUCCGCCCCUUAGUGCUGCAGCUAACGCAUUAAGCACUCCGCCUGGGGAGUACGGCCGCAAGGCUG
rnacentral:rRNA from 1 species